rnacentral:lncRNA from 1 species
AGUUCAACCAGGAAGCUGGACAAUCCAACUCUGGAACUUAUUUGAGCUUUUUAGAUAGAAUCUGAGGCAACUAAAUUUCCAAAACAAGCACCCAGUUCUUUUUAAUACUUAUAUGUUGCAUUAAGCUUAGGUGACGGGCAUAAGUUUGUUUAGCUUUCUUACGUUUAUUAAUUUUAUAAUUCAAUUUCAGCACUUUAAUUGACUAAAAGAGCCUGUGGGUACAAAAUCGUCUACAUAUUCACUUUUUAACCUAACUACAAGAAUUAGUUUCAUUAUCCAAACCCUUAUUUCUCUAAAAUUUUUGGUAUGAUUUUUUUUUUUGGAUACUGCCCCCAACCU